UACGGAGGGUGCAAACGUUGCUCGGAAUCAUUGGGCGUAAAGCGCACGUAGGCGGCCUGUUAAGUCGGAUGUGAAAGCCCCGGGCUCAACCCGGGAAGUGCAUUCGAAACUGGCGGGCUUGAAUAUGGAAGAGGGUCGCGGAAUUCCCGGUGUAGAGGUGAAAUUCGUAGAUAUCAGGAGGAACACCAAUGGCGAAGGCAGCACUCUGGGACGUGACUGACGCUGAGACGCGAAAGCGUGGGGAGCAAACAGG
rnacentral:rRNA from 1 species